rnacentral:rRNA from 1 species
GUACACGCUGUGACUAGCAUAUCAAUAAGCGGAGGAAAAGAAACUAACAAGGAUUCCCCUAGUAACGGCGAGUGAAGCGGGAAGAGCUCAAAUUUGAAAUCUUAAAGGGUUUCCCUUUACGAAUUGUAGUUUAAAGAAGUGUUUUCUGUUGAGGUUUUGGUAAAAGUUCUUUGGAAUAGGACAUCAUAGAGGGUGAGAAUCCCGUAUUUGACCUUUACUUUCAACUUUGUGAUACACUUUCAAAGAGUCGGAUUGUUUGGGAAUGCAGUCCAAAAUGGGUGGUAAAUUUCAUCUAAAGCUAAAUAUUGGCGAGAGACCGAUAGUGAACAAGUACCGUGAGGGAAAGAUGAAAAGAACUUUGAAAAGAGAGUUAAACAGUACGUGAAAUUGUCAAAAGGGAAGCGUUUGACACCAGUGUUGUUUUUCUGAAAAUCAAUUAAAGAACUGUUUAUGCUAAGCUGUUUAGACUUUAUCAGCUAACUGUUUAGUUUUGAGCUUUUCUUUAAUGCACUUUUCAGUUAACAAGUCAACAUCAAUUUCUUUUGCUGUAAAAAAGCUUGAGGAAGGUGGCUUGAGAUUCGUCUUAAGUGUUUAUAGCCUCUUGCCUAUGCAGUCGGAGAGAUUGAGGUCUGCAGCGUAGAUCCUUCGGGGCUAAAUGCAUUUGUGCUAAGUUAUAGCAUUUUAUAGACAACUUGUUGACUAUGAUUUGUCCUGUAGCUUACUCGCUUAUGUUAUUUUACCUACGCUUAGGAUGUUGAGUCGUAGAGCACGCAG